CGCAAAACUGUAGUGGCGCUAUCUGGUGGGAAAAUACGAUAACACACCAAAUAUUAUGUAGUCGAUGGUCUAUUAAUUCAUCAAUCUAUGAUUUCAUGUAAGGUAGUAUUUAUUUAAAUGAGUAUGAGUUAUAUUUUAUUUUCUAUAUAACAAUACUUUCUCAUUUUCGGCAAUUGAUCUCAAUAAAAUGUUGCAGGCCGUUCACAUUCGGCGCAAAAGGCAACAAAUAUAUGGGGCCGGGUUUUUUGGCAAAACCUGUCCACAACCACCGCAGAAAUUAUCCCAAUUCUGUUGGUAGUGCAUCCCAUAAUUGGUCCUCAAAUGGAUUUGCUCAGUUUUCUUGGGUUUUUAGUGAGGAUGGUGAGGAUGCUUCGAGAUUUCAAUUUGCUUGUAAUUUCUGCGGGGUGUGUAGUCUGGGUGGCGAUGGGAUCAAAAUGCCGGAAAUGGUUUGAUAGGGUUCGCUACGUACGAAAUUAGGCUCGAACAGGGUUGAGUUAAAGAGUAUUAUAAAGGUAGUGAAUGACAGGGUGACUCAGGCUAAGAAGUGACUAGGCAGCCCUAUGAUUGCUGAGUAGGUGGGAACCUACUACUACUCCGGGGUGAGCUGAAAUGAGAAUUCACAAUAGAAUAAAAAAUGGCUAUUGACAGUUGAAAAGAAAAAGGAAUGAAAAUUGAAAAUGGCUCAGGAAAAUGGUGUUUCGUGGAAAAUGAGCGUCUGGCGGGAUUCACUGAGAAGAGGGGUAUAAAAGGCUGCGAGCAUAAGAAAAGCCAAAGUUAAGAAUAAGACGUUACCGGUGAAACUUAGCUAGAGAGCAGUGAAGAAGUGGAAAAAUUUAAUUUGUGUGUUGCGAUUUUUUUAUUGUGAAUAUUCCGGUGGUGUAUCAAGCUUUUUUGGAAGCACCGAAAAUUGUCCGGUUUUGGUCAGCACAACGGCGGGAAAUUGCCUUUUCUUUUUGGUAACGCAAGGUAGUGGCAAGUUGUCCACAGGAGAAAAAAGCCAAAAAAAGUUACAUUGAGGGUGUGGAGAUUUGAAUUGUAAACUGGCCAGCUGCAACUUUGAGCUUUUUGCUGUGCCUGUUAUUGAUCCCGCCCAGAACGCCGGCAUUGUAAAAGGACCAGUCAACAAGUCCAGCUUCAUUUCAGGGUUUGCCUGGCGUUCAAAAUCUGUUUCCUCCGGAAAGAAGCGUAAACUGGAAGAAGAGAUAAGAAGAAUUAAUCAAUAACGUUAUAAAUCACUGCUCAGGUAAAAGGUGUCUUACCGUUGUGUUGUCCUUGAUAGAUAUAUUUAUAUAUAUAUGUGACGUCCAUAAAAUUUGCUGUCUCCUUUUUUGGAACUAAAAGAAAAGAAAAAAAGAGUUAAUAAUCAUAAAUUUCGAGAAAAAAAAUAUAAUAUUCAGUAUAAAGAUUUAGUAAUAAGAUAGGUUAUAGUUCUUAGGAUUUAAGUAAUAAUCAGUUUGUAAGGGAAAAAUACCGCGUUUAUUUUCAAAGGCUAGGAGGUGUUACAGUAAAAUUAUCUUGAGUCCUUGUGAUUCGAUCUGAUAGUUUAGGCCGUGGAAUUUUAGCGGCAAUUAGGCCGGUUAAGAGAGCUCUUUUAGGUGGCUAGUAAUUUCGUAUAGACGCGUGAAUAUUGCGCGGGAAAAGCAAGGCAAAGGAUAAUAUAUUGGUUUCUACCGAGUAAUUAAAGCCAUAGAUUUAAGAAAGCCCGGUAUUAUUCUUAAUUUGUUUUUUUUUAUACCAUACAGUUUGUCAAUUUUAGUGUAAGAAAAAAAAUAGUAGAGAAAAAAAUUAAGAAAAUAUUUAAAGCUAACUUAUUUUUUUUAAUAAAAUUAAAAAUGAUUCUUUUGUAAACAGUA